GUGCAGCAGGCGCGAAACUUUACAAUGUGCGAAAGCACGAUAAGGGAACUCUGAGUGCCUCCUAAGGAGGCUGUUCAGGUGUCUAAAAGCACCUGAAGGAAGGGCUGGGUAAGACCGGUGCCAGCCGCCGCGGUAACACCGGCAGCCCAAGUGGUAGCCACGUUUAUUGGGUCUAAAGCGUCCGUAGCCGGCUGGGGUAAGUUCCUUGGGAAAUUUGGCUGCUUAACAGUCAAGCUUUCAGGGAAUACUGCCCGGCUUGGGACCGGGAGAGGUCAGAGGUACUCCAGGGGUAGGGUGAAAUCCAUUUAAUCCUUGGGGGACCACCGGUAGCGAAGGCGUCUGACCAGACCGGGUCCGACGGUGAGG
rnacentral:rRNA from 1 species